GAAGAAGAAGAAGAAGAAGAAGAAAAGAAAAAGAAAGAAAUAAGAAAAGCAAAAGAAAAGGAAAAAAAAGUGAGCUAUAAGAAGUCUUUGCGAGUAUUAAGAAACCUUAUCGAUAUUGAGUCUGGUGAGCACAAUUAGAUUCGUCGUAGAUCAAGCGAGCGCCAUUAGCUGCGACAAGAAGUUAACGAUUAUCUCGACAAACAUAUAAUAGCUUUCAAGGAAGAAGGUGGAAGGCGACAACGGCUUUGGAUUUGUGAUCCCUUCGCCAGGAAAAUAAGACGAGCGUACCACCGUCCUCUCAACUUUCCACGACUCGGAUAGAGCUUAUAGAGAAUUUUAUGGUGUACCGGGAGAAAGAGACUGGCAGAUUCUUAUUCGCAUAGUUCUAAUAUCUCAAAGGACGGAAUAGUCCUUAAAGGGAAGGAACCUUGACAGGCAAGCUGCCAGGCAGCCAGGACGAAGACGACGCUUGUCGGUGAUGACGCGACACUACCGGAGUUAAGUGGCGAAACGCGCGGAUGGCCAAAAGUAAAAAAGAAAAGAAAAAGAAAAAAAUGAAGAAGAAGUCCAAUGAAAAAAAAAAACCGACUCGAAACCGAAGCGAAGCGAAGCGGCUAAAACAAAAGAGGUGCGGAGGUGUGACGAAACGCCGAGAUCGGAGGAAGAGGAGGAGGAGGAGGAGGACCGACCCCUCCGAUCUACACCUUUCUCUUUCUCUCGAUUCAUUCCCUAUCCUUCUCCCUUACCCUCUCCCUAUUCUUUUUAGCCUUUAGCUUACGGAUCUUUCAAAAAAAAGUUCAUUCUUCACGAGCCACCUUGUGUAUCGCCUCUUCCUCCUCCUCCUCCUCCUCCUCCUCCUUCUCCUCCUGUACCCUUCCUCACCCUUCGACGCCCGCUCGCCAACCGAUUCUUUCGUUCGAUUCAAUUUCUAUA